AAAAAAGAUUUUCAUUUGUUGUGAACUUAGUGCAAUUUAACUUUGCUUCCUACCUAGAAUAUUUUGUUUCCCUUGUCUAAGGAGAUUGCUUCCACAACAUAUGAAGCUUGUUUCUAACAUAGAAAAAAUAUAAUAUGCUUCCAUCAACAUUGCUUCCAAAGAGAGAAAAUAAUAUACUAUGCUUCCAUCAAUAUUUGCUCAGAUCUACAUUGCCUCCAAAAGUGAAUAUAAAUUGAUAUCAAAGAAACAUUGUUUAUUGUUUGUUCCAACGAAACUAAGCUACUAACAGAAAUAGUAUUUGCUUCCUGUGAUAUCAGCAUUUGCUUCUGUAUACAAGAAUUGUCACGGGGUUAGCUUCGUCUCGGCACAAUGCCACAGUGGUCCACCUCAAUGGAGAUGUCAAUGCGCUAGGGACACGCAACUGGACCAUGGAUGUACCCAUUAGCAUGACCCAUGAUUAAACAUAGGGGUUGUCGUGUCGGCGGUGGCGGCGGCGUGGAAACGGCAGCCAUGAGCAGUAAAGAGGACACCGAGGAUCAACGCGCAGUAGGGGCUUGCCGUGGAGUGCUCUUCGCCGCUGGUGAAGGGUACCGUGGACAGUCGUCGAUGGGGCAGCAUGUCGUCCUACGGCGUGGGAUUCGUCGCUCUGACUCUACACGGUGAAGUAUGGUUGAAAUGCCACAAAUUCUAUGCAGCAAAGAAUCACAUGUUUGAAAAAUAGGAAUCAUUGAUAUUUGGACGCAUUAGAUUCAUCAAAUUCAACAAAAUAGAAGGAGCAGUGGUUACAACAGGAAAAAGAUGUCAAGCUUGAGAAGCAUGGUUGUAUUGCCAAUCCAUCUACACAUAUUUGAUAUAUAUAAGAAGCACCAAAUCUCUGUAGAAAAAAUCUUCAAAUCACAACACAUGCGAGACCUAGUGGAAGCAUAGAAACCUGAAAACGAAAUUUAGCAUCCCUUGCUGCAAAGAUGUAUGCGCUGAAAUUUGUGAUAAGUAUGAUCCAACAUAAGUGGGAAUUUUGUGACCCUACAUCAACUAAACCAUGAUUUGAAUAAAAAAGCACGCUCUAGCAGCAAGCAAUGUAUGCAGGUUAGUACAUGCAUAUUGCAAAAGAACUGAACCUAGGGCAUGCAGAUUGAUGUCGCAUGCCAAUAGUGCCGCCGGUGCCGAGGUGUGCUUGCGCAUGAUGCGGUCGAGCUGCCGCAAGUACAUCCACCUCGGGGUCUGCUGCAACUGCCGCCUGCUGGUACUCCGGCCGCCAAGUGAUCCUACGCAACCAGCUGAGGUGGAACGGAGGCCACGUCGAGGAAUCGGACGGUGGAGUGGAUCCGAUCUGGGUGGUGAUGGGUGAUAGAUCAGGGGCGGCGCGGUGGAAUCGUGAGGUCCACGGUGAUUGUGAGUUGGUUGGGACCAGAGCGAUUAAUUAGGGCCCUAAUUUAGGGGAGAGGAACGGGCAAAAGAUUUGGAAGAAAUAGUGGGAUAGGGGUCUUUUGAAUGAGAUUUCUCUGAGGAGGUAAUGAUCAUGGGAUGGAACACAAAUGAACG
rnacentral:lncRNA from 1 species